rnacentral:lncRNA from 1 species
CGUCGUGAUUUUGCUUUGAGGGAUUUGAUUUUCUUUUUAUAGUGCCCUCCUCUGCUGGUUAUAGAAUCUUCGAAAACUGAAGUUUUGUGGGUUCAGAGCUGGAUGUUGUUGCAGGGGUGGGACUGGCAGCAGUUCAUCACACUGCAGUCUGAAAUUCCUCUGCUUUUCCGUGAUCCUGCUGCAGUGAAUGGCGGCUACGCCAAACCAGCUUAGGAAUUUCUUUUCACUCUAAGAUGGCUUUUGUUUCUAUGUCUCUUCUUUUCAUUCUUUCACAUUAAACAACGGGAAAGUAGUCUGUCAUCUGUUACUCAUGGAGUGGUGCUGAAGGCAAUGUGAAUUCAGAGCCAUUUGUUUUUUCUGGAACUAAGGAAUGUGCACAACAACCAAUCCAACAAAUUUAGACUGCAGUGUGUUCGUAUUUACAAAUAGACAUGUAUACAUAAAUCAAGUCACCCAAACUAUGUACUGCAUGGACUUUAAAAUGUUCUUUGUGUAGCUAACUCUUAUUUGAAUUACUUCGACAAAAUGCCAAAAGCUCAUUAAUAUAUGCUCUCUUCAUUUACUUAAUCAUCACUCUGUACACUUUUGUAGGUGCUUGAGACACGACAGCAAAAGUGCUCCUCAAAGUCUCUACUUCAAGAACCUCACAUUCAAGCCAGAGAGACUGACAGUAACAAACAAAUAUGUGAAGUAUGGGGCUUCUCAGAUGGGCUGGGUGUGGUGGCUCACACCUAUAAUCCCAGCAAUUGAGAGGCUGAGGUAAGUAGAUCACUUGAGGCCAGGCAUUUGAGACCAGCCUGACCAACAUGACGAAAACCCAACUCUACUGAAUAUAUAAAAACUAGCAGGCAUUGUGAGGCAUAUCAGUAAUCCUAGCUACUUGAGAGGCUGAGACAUGACUGUUGAUUGAUUUUAGGAGGCAGAGUUUGCAGGGAGCCAAGAUUGCAUUACUACACUCCAGCUUGAACAAUGGAGCGAGACUGUCUCAAAAAAUUAAUGUUUUUAUUCUUGCUAAUAAUGAACCAUUUGUGUCUCCUUUUUAAAUAAAAUGGGAGUUGUCGUUUUUCACAUUAAAUAAAUUGUGUUACCUCUUAUUUUAAAAAAUAAUUUGUAGGAGUACUCUACAUAUUCUAAUUAUGAGUCCUUUGUUUGGUAUCUGUAUGGCAAAUAUCUUCUUUCACAAUAUACUUCAUCUACUUACACUCUUUGUGGUACCUUUGAUGCAUAAAGUUUUUAAAUAAAAAGAAAUUUAUCAAUAUGGGUCUUAUUAUCUUUUGUACCCUGUUUCAGAAAACUUUGCUUACCUCAGUGUUACGAAGACAAUGUCUUGUGUGUUCAUGUGGAAUAUUUU